ACUACCCUUUGUGACUUCUGCUGCCUGCACUUUUAUAAUAGUCUUGAGGGUGCACAGUAUGGCAAGUACAACCUCUUCACCCCUUACUUCCCAUCCUUAUGCAGAAAAUACCCAUGCCUAGGUUCUGCAUGUGAAGCAUGAAAAAUGAGACAUGGCACAAGUAAGACCCCAGGCCUCCAGACUCAACACCACCAUAUGACUUCUGAGACCUGGUCUUUUUUUUUCGGGGUUUUCAUGUGUCAACUCUCCCAUUCAUUCAUUAAGAAUGUCUCUGGCACUUACCGGUGGAUAUCAUGGCCUCCCUGCCUGUCAUUAGUGAGGACAUAAAGAAAUCCGACCAAGAAACCAGUUAGCAGCACUGAGCUGUGACCAGCCACAGGGUUUCAAGGCAUUGGCUGCUGAAGAUCUCACUUGCAUCUUCUCCAGAGGAUUGCCCUUGGCUGAUAGGAGCUGCCUUCAUGAGUGUUGCCGGGAUUUGUCCUGAAAUUUGAAUGGAACUCCUUGUGUUUCAUUAUCAACUUAGUAGACACUGUUUCAGCACAGUUUCAAUGCCACAACCACAGUGUGAAAGUGUGAGAGAUUUUAGUACUUACACACCCUGGGGUACACAGUUCACCUGGAGAACAUGGAGAACAGAGAGCACAGGCAGGGAGAGAAAGGGCAGCCAUAGGAAAUGCCUUAGCUGGACCUGGGGCAUUAUCCCAACAGCGUUACCAAGGAAAGCUGCAAUUGAUGGAUUUAAAGCAAGAAGUCACCAGUUCCAGAUUGUACUGUGAGAGGUGAUCAUCUUUAGGUUCCUAGACAAGUAUCUGAAUGGACCUUUGAAUGAAAGCAGUAGGAAAAUGGGAUGUCUAACUUGCUAGGCCCAGAGAGAUACCUCUAAACCUUUUUGGGUUGUGGCAUAUUAAUUAUACAGAAUGGUGAGUUUUAUUGUGGCAUAUUUGGAUAUACAUAAAAAUAUAACUGAUCAAUUUCACCCCCCAAUACCUCCCCCACACUCCUCUCACCCCUUCCCCGAGAUCUUCUUCCUCUAUCCUAUUGGUCUCCCUUCUCUUUCAUAGAGCCUCAUUUUUUUUAUCUUCCACU